rnacentral:rRNA from 1 species
GACGAACGCUGGCGGCGUGCCUAAUACAUGCAAGUUGAGCGCUGAAGGUUGGUACUUGUACCAACUGGAUGAGCAGCGAACGGGUGAGUAACGCGUGGGGAAUCUGCCUUUGAGCGGGGGACAACAUUUGGAAACGAAUGCUAAUACCGCAUAAAAACUUUAAACACAAGUUUUAAGUUUGAAAGAUGCAAUUGCAUCACUCAAAGAUGAUCCCGCGUUGUAUUAGCUAGUUGGUGAGGUAAAGGCUCACCAAGGCGAUGAUACAUAGCCGACCUGAGAUGGUGAUCGGCCACAUUGGGACUGAGACACGGCCCAAACUCCUACGGGAGGCAGCAGUAGGGAAUCUUCGGCAAUGGACGAAAGUCUGACCGAGCAACGCCGCGUGAGUGAAGAAGGUUUUCGGAUCGUAAAACUCUGUUGGUAGAGAAGAACGUUGGUGAGAGUGGAAAGCUCAUCAAGUGACGGUAACUACCCAGAAAGGGACGGCUAACUACGUG